GAAAAAUUAAGCCUCUCUCCACUUUAAUUCAGUUCCCGCUUAGGGCGUGAGCUCGCACACAAGACACUAGUGUUUAUACCCGUUACUCGUAGAGUAAAAGGGUGUACUAGAUUCGUUGGAAAGUAUGUGACAGUGGUGUUCGAUGCCCUUUAGCAAAGUGUAGAUGCUCGUCACCUUCCGGGGAUCAGGUUCCCUGGCCCUGCUGGACAAUCUGGCUCACCAGCCAUUGAUGGCUACGAGAGCCGCUUAGAUGCAGAGCAGAAUCACAAAUGAGCUUUGGAGGAGGCUGUACAACUGCCACUACAACAAGUCUGCGGAAAUGAUCCUCUGGGGAUCCACUGGCUUCCGCCGCUGCUGCGGAGAUCUGCUGGAAUCCGGAGACGAUGGCCGGUCUACAACUUGUAUCUGAAGUUCUUGUCCCCGCUUAAGGAGCGCGAAGGACUACAUUUGCGAGUGCUGCUUUCGUCCGUGACCCUCGGGGCAUUAUACGCAUGAGGACUUGCUUUUGCAGCCCGAGGAGAGUAUCAAGCUGGUAUUUCGAUUUCUACGGUUUGCCUUUAAGGAGACCCAAGACCAGCUCUCGAGGAGUGCAUCCGCGCAGUGCAUCCUUGGGUGGGGACCUUCGUUGGAGGUAUUUCAACCAGCCCGCCCACGAGUGGAUGUGCAAAAUGAAGGUUGCCGAUAUAAAGGCUGUGCAGGGGCCAUGGACUUGUGGGGCUAU